rnacentral:rRNA from 1 species
UGGGGAAUCUUGGACAAUGGGGGCAACCCUGAUCCAGCCAUGCCGCGUGAGUGAUGAAGGCCUUAGGGUCGUAAAGCUCUUUCGCCUGUGAAGAUAAUGACGGUAGCAGGUAAAGAAACCCCGGCUAACUCCGUGCCAGCAGCCGCGGUAAUACGGAGGGGGUUAGCGUUGUUCGGAAUUACUGGGCGUAAAGCGCACGUAGGCGGACCAGAAAGUUGGGGGUGAAAUCCCGGGGGCUCAACCCCGGAACUGCCUCCAAAACUAUUGGUCUAGAGUUCGAGAGAGGUGAGUGGAAUUCCAAGUGUAGAGGUGAAAUUCGUAGAUAUUUGGAGGAACACCAGUGGCGAAGGCGGCUCACUGGCUCGAUACUGACGCUGAGGUGCGAAAGUGUGGGGAGCAAACAGGAUUAGAUACCCUGGUAGUCCACACCGUAAAACGAUGAAUGCCAGUCGUCGGGUAGCAUGCUAUUCGGUGACACACCUAACGGAUUAAGCAUUCCGCCUGGGGAGUACGGUCGCAAGAUUAAAACUCAAAUGG